GUCUACGGCCAUACCACCCUGAACGCGCCCAAUCUCGUCUGAUCUCGGAAGCUAAGCAGGGUCGGGCCUGGUUAGUACUUGGAUGGGAGAAAAGAUAUUUUUAUAAGACCUUUACAUGAGGUUAAUCAUUGGAGAAU
ensembl:rRNA 5S_rRNA 5S ribosomal RNA